rnacentral:tRNA from 1 species
GGUAAAGUGUCUGAUUGAUAGGUUGUAAAUUGUAAAUUUAUAUAUGAAUAUAAAAAUUCCUUUACCA